ACGACCAUAACACGUUGAAACACCGGUUCUCUUACGAUCACCGAAAUUAAGCAACGUCGAGCUUGUCAGUACCUAGAUAGGUGACCACUUGGGAAUACCAGGUGCUGUAAG